ACUGACUGUGCAUAUGAAGAAAAGGAAGCCGGCCAGAGGUCUGGGACAGAGUCACGGAGAGAACCAAGGGAGGAGAUACGAUCUGUGAGGGAGCAGUUCGUGGGCCAGAGAUGGUUGAUGCUUCCCAGAACUCCAUGCUUGUCCAGAAACCGUUCCUCAGGCGAGUUUGAGGUCCACUUCAACCACAUUUGGCAAGAGAAAGAAAUCUGUUUCUUUAAGGACAGAAAGAAAUGAAAAUGAGAGCAGUGUUUCAUGAAAUGCAAGUGACCUCACAGAACUCCUCUUAGAUGGGCAGAGCACGUAUAAUUGCCGCCACUAUUUAGAGAACGUAGUCGGCAUCCAGGAAGGGGAUGUGACCUGCUCAGAAUCACCCAGAAGAAUCAGGAAUAGCAGAUUGAGUUUUAAACAAAGAAGUCUCCUUUUGAAGACUAAAGUUAAGAAGAGCUAAGCUAAGGAAGACGGGAACUAGCCUGGGAGCUCUGUAAAUUUUCAGGUGAUCAAACAGAGGCUCAGUGAAAUUUUGACUGAAAUAGAAGCACGCAGCAGAGGAAAAAGAUGUGAAGACCCAGGGAGAACAACAUUUGAACAUGGAAACCACUAUCUACAAAUGGAGAGAAACCUGGAACACAGCGUUCACAGCCCUGGAAGGAACCCCACUGCCUAUCAAAAUCUGUUUUAAGUUGCAGUCUUCAUUUUGUAAAUGAAGGUUGUGGGCAGGACCUCAUACUGGGAUGGUGUGACCUGUAGGCAGGCCCUUUAGUUCUAAUUCUGACGUCAAACAAGACACGUCUCCUCUCCAUACCUGUUUCAUCAUCAUUGAAAUGAUUUCCUUCUACCAUUCAUUAUUUUAUUAUAUUUUAUCUUAUUCUACCACCCUGCAUUUACUAAGAUACUUAGAGCAAUACAGAAACGAGACAACUAAAUUCAACAAUCAUUUAAUGCACACUUUCUAUGAUCCAAGUACUUUGCUGGAUGAUGAGGACACAGAAAUGGGCCUGGUGUAACACUGGAUCCCAAGAAGCUCCCAGUCUAGGGGACUCUGAUGUCAGAUUUUUAAAUUGACAGAUAAAAGAAAGUCAACUCAUUAACCAUGGGAACUAACUAUAUAUUAACUCUCCUUCUUACUAAAAACUCAGUGUAUAAAUUCGGAGGGAUUGUAAGACUUCUGAGAUCAGAAUGAAAACAUAGCUAUUGUGAAAGUGGGAAGUUAACUGAAAUGUGUUGAUGAUCAAUAAUACAUUCACUACUUUACUGCUGAUACCGGGGUUCUUGUUUGCGAAGUCGAAGAAUGAGCUUCACAAACACCCAAGGUAGGAGAGUCAGGGAGAGGCUUUUAUUUAGAAAUAAAGUGAGAGGAAAGAGCUCCUGGCUCACUCCAGGAGGGGACAAGACAGCCCGGGGUGGUGUGUUGUCUAGGGGAUUUAUAGGCAGUAGAAGAUUUUAGGGAAUGGAGGGCUUGGGGUGUGGACUUGUACCACCUGCCCUGCCCUCAAGGUGGGCU